rnacentral:rRNA from 1 species
CAAGGCUUUGGUCCUUGACCUACCGUUAAUUUUUAUUAUAAUUACACAUGCAAGUCUCCGCAUACCAGUGAGUAUACCCACUUUGUUCGCCAUUCGACAUGUGGAGAGGAUAUCAGGCACGCGAAUAAAGUUAGCCCAUGACAUCUAGCGCCACCACCCCCACACGGGCAUGCAGCAGUGACAAACAUUGGGCAAUAAAUGAAAUUUUUGACUCAGUAAUAAUAAAUUAUGUUGGUUAAUUUCGUGCCAGCCGCCGCGGUUAUACGAAAGACUACAACUAACGGCAAAUCGGCGUAAAUCGUGACUAGAUGUCUAAGCCAACGGGAAAGAAAAUUUAGCCUAGCAGUAAAAUGCACAGGCCAAAAAGAAUAUGUACUCUUUCUUACAAAUUGACCUCACGAAAGCGCAGGCACAAACUAGGAUUAGAUACCCUAUUAUGCUGCGCCGUAAAUUAGACAGCACAUUUUUACACUCUCCUGUCCGCCAGAGAACUACGAGCGAAAAGCUUAAAACUCAAAGGACUUGGCGGUGUCCCAUAACAGCCUAGAGGAGCCUGUCCUAUAAUCCGAUGUUACCCGCUCUACCUAACCAUCUGUAGCACUCUACAGCCUAUAUACCGCCGUCGUCAGCCUACCCUAUGAAGGCGCACACGUAAGCUAAAAAGUUUUCACACUAAUACGUCAGGUCGAGGUGUAGCUAACCAGAUGGCAGCGAUGGGCUACAUUCCCUCAUCGAGGGCAUACGGAAAGUAUACUGAAACACCUACUAGAAGGCGGAUUUAGUAGUAAAAUAAAUUACCGUAUUUAUUUUAACCUUGCUCUGGGACGCGCACACACCGCCCGUCACCCUCUUCGAUGCCAAAUAAUACAUAAAUAAUAAGCAACCUAAUUAAAAGAAGAGACAAGUCGUAACAUGGUAAGCGUACUGGAAAGUGCGCUUGGCAA